rnacentral:misc_RNA from 1 species
AAAAACAAAAAGGCAACAUUCAGAGUACAUCAAUCAAAUCAUAGGUCCCUAACUCAUAUUUAGAUAUUUUUAUGCGCCUGUCAUUUCUUGCAUUAAAUUGCAGUUGGUAUGUUGCCAAGGUUCUGAACAAUUGCAUAUGAUUAUAUAAAGAGAGUCUUACGAGUCAGUAGUUAACACAAUCUAAGUUUCCAUAUUUACUUCAGUAUAGUGAGCCAAACUAUAUUUGACCCCAAAUUAAGAAUGUAGAAAGUCAAUCAUAUGACAGACUCUAUCCCAA